AUUGAACGCUGGCGGCAUGCCUUACACAUGCAAGUCGAACGGUAACAGGUUAAGCUGACGAGUGGCGAACGGGUGAGUAAUAUAUCGGAACGUGCCCAGUCGUGGGGGAUAACUGCUCGAAAGAGCAGCUAAUACCGCAUACGACCUGAGGGUGAAAGCGGGGGAUCGCAAGACCUCGCGCGAGUGGAGCGGCCGAUAUCAGAUUAGGUAGUUGGUGGGGUAAAGGCCCACCAAGCCAACGAUCUGUAGCUGGUCUGAGAGGACGACCAGCCACACUGGGACUGGGACACGGCCCAGACUCCUACGGGAGGCAGCAGUGGGGAAGUUUGGACAAUGGGCGCAAGCCUGAUCCAGCCAUGCCGCGUGCGGGAAGAAGGCCUUCGGGUUGUAAACCGCUUUUGUCAGGGAAGAAAAGGUUCUGGUUAAUACCUGGGACUCAUGACGGUACCUGAAGAAUAAGCACCGGCUAACUACGUGCCAGCAGCCGCAGUAA
rnacentral:rRNA from 1 species